GGCUGGAAGGCAGCAGCGGCAGGGGGC
rnacentral:SRP_RNA from 1 species